rnacentral:rRNA from 1 species
UACGUAGGGACCAAGCGUUGUCCGGAUUUAUUGGGCGUAAAGAGCUCGUAGGCGGUUAUCCACGUCGGAUGUGAAAGCUCAGGGCUCAACCCUGAGAGGCCAUUCGAUACGGAUCGGCUAGAGGUAGGUAGGGGAAAGUGGAAUUCCUGGUGUAGCGGUGAAAUGCGCAGAUAUCAGGAGGAACACCGGUGGCGAAGGCGGCUCACUGGCCCGAUACUGACGCUGAGGCACGAAAGCGUGGGGAGCAAACAGG